ensembl:snRNA U6 U6 spliceosomal RNA
GUGCUUUGGUAGCAUGUAUCCUAAAAUUGGAACAAUGCAGAAACCAUUAGCAUGGCUCUUGUGCAAGGGUAACAUGCAAAUUCAUGAAGCAUUCUAUAUUUUC